AAAGAAGGCAAUGACAACAUUUUGGCCCCUCCUAGUUCGAGUUCUUCCUCCUGAUGUAAUCUUCAUUGCUGAUCCUGAGGGUUCUAUUAUGGGAGGGAGUUCGAUUGGGCCUCAAUUUGUUGGGAAGGGUUCCUCUGAAAUGAGGUUGGUUGGUGCCCUUAGAGAAAUUUUAGCAGGAGGGCAUCUUGGGUAUGAGGAGGUCCAAGGAGUGAUGAGAGAUGUGCUUCCUCUUAAAACAGAAAGCCAUAUGUCGUCAGGAGUUAGUCAUUCACUGCUUUCAGCCUUUUUAAUUGGUCAACGUAUGAACAGGGAGACGGAUCGGGAGCUUAAAGCACAUUGCCUUGCUUUUGAUGAUGAAUCAGGUCCUACACCAGUUGCUGAUGUUAGAUCAUUGACUCAUUAUGGGGAACCUUAUGAUGGAAAUACACGUUAU
rnacentral:misc_RNA from 1 species